rnacentral:rRNA from 1 species
CCUACGGGAGGCAGCAGUGGGGAAUAUUGCACAAUGGGGGAAACCCUGAUGCAGCGACGCCGCGUGAGUGAAGAAGUAUUUCGGUAUGUAAAGCUCUAUCAGCAGGGAAGAAACCCACCCUCCGGGGUGGCUGACGGUACCUGACUAAGAAGCCCCGGCUAACUACGUGCCAGCAGCCGCGGUAAUAAGUAGGGGGCAAGCGUUAUCCGGAUGUACUGGGGGUAAAGGGAGCGUAGGUGGCAAGGCAAGUCAGAUGUGAAAACCCGGGGCCCAACCCCGGGAGUGCAUUUGAAACUGUCUGGCUAGAGUGCAGGAGAGGUAAGUGGAAUUCCUAGUGUAGCGGUGAAAUGCAUAGAUAUUAGGAGGAACACCAGUGGCGAAGGCGGCUUACUGGACUGUAACUGACACUGAGGCUCGAAGGCGUGGGGAGCAAACAGGAGUAGAUACCCCUGUAGUC